GUUGGGGCGACGCGCGCUGCCCCCGCCCGCCCUCGAGGCGCGCGCGACGUUGCCUCAGCAGCUCCCAUCCCGCUCCCCAUCCCCGAUCUUCCCCUCCAUUCCAAAAGGAGUGUCAGCUGUUAAGGGCACCGUUCGCUUUUUCAGAAUUUGGCUGGAUUUGCAGCCUUACACACUUGACAGUCCGAGGUGAUUCUCAGCUCUAAAUGGGACCUUCAGGCUCCUCUUCCAAAGUCUGGGAAGAGUCAGAUACUGUGGAAGGGACUCCUGAGAUACUGUCAGAGCUGGAACCUGUGAAAAGUCAACCAUGAAUAAAACGAAGCUUGGGAUGGAA